rnacentral:rRNA from 1 species
ACGCGAGGAACCUUACCAGGUCUUGACAUCCCAUUGACCGCUAUGGAGACAUAGCUUUCCCUUUUAGGGACAGUGGUGACAGGUGGUGCAUGGUUGUCGUCAGCUCGUGUCGUGAGAUGUUGGGUUAAGUCCCGCAACGAGCGCAACCCUUGUUCUUAGUUGCCAUCAUUUAGUUGGGCACUCUAAGGAGACUGCCGGUGACAAACCGGAGGAAGGUGGGGAUGACGUCAAAUCAUCAUGCCCCUUAUGACCUGGGCUACACACGUGCUACAAUGGACGGUACAAACGGUUGCCAACCCGCGAGGGGGAGCUAAUCCGAUAAAACCGUUCUCAGUUCGGAUUGUAGGCUGCAACUCGCCUACAUGAAGCCGGAAUCGCUAGUAAUCGCGGAUCAGCAUGCCGCGGUGAAUACGUUUCCGGGCCUUGCACACACCGCCCGU